UGGAGGGCAAGUCUGGUGCCAGCAGCCGCGGUAAUUCCAGCUCCAAUAGCGUAUAUUAAAGUUGUUGUGGUUAAAAAGCUCGUAGUUGAACCUUGGGCCUGGCUGGCCGGUCCGCCUCACCGCGUGUACUGGUCCGGCCGGGCCUUUCCCUCUGUGGAACCCCAUGCCCUUCACUGGGUGUGGCGGGGAAACAGGACUUUUACUUUGAAAAAAUUAGAGUGCUCCAGGCAGGCCUAUGCUCGAAUACAUUAGCAUGGAAUAAUAGAAUAGGACGUGUGGUUCUAUUUUGUUGGUUUCUAGGACCGCCGUAAUGAUUAAUAGGGACAGUCGGGGGCAUCAGUAUUCAAUUGUCAGAGGUGAAAUUCUUGGAUUUAUUGAAGACUGACUACUGCGAAAGCAUUUGCCAAGGAUGUUUUCAUUAAUCAGGAACGAAAGUUAGGGGAUCGAAGACGAUCAGAUACCGUCGUAGUCUUAACCAUAAACUAUGCCGACUAGGGAUCGGACGAUGUUAUUUUUUGGCUCGUUCGGCGCCUUACGGGAAAC
rnacentral:rRNA from 1 species